rnacentral:ncRNA from 1 species
CGACCCCAGGUCAGGCGGGACUACCCGCUGAGUUUAAGCAUAUAAAUAAGCGGAGGAGAAGAAACUU